rnacentral:rRNA from 1 species
GAAGCAACGCGCAGAACCUUACCACCUUUUGACAUGCCUGGACCGCCAGAGAGAUCUGGCUUUCCCUUCGGGGACUAGGACACAGGUGCUGCAUGGCUGUCGUCAGCUCGUGUUGUGAAAUGUUGGGUUAAGUCCCGCAACGAGCGCAACCCUUAUCCUUUGUUGCCAGCGGUUCGGCCGGGAACUCAAAGGAGACUGCCAGUGAUAAACUGGAGGAAGGUGGGGAUGACGUCAAGUCAUCAUGGCCCUUACGAGUAGGGCUACACACGUGCUACAAUGGCAUAUACAAAGAGAAGCGACCUCGCGAGAGCAAGCGGACCUCAUAAAGUAUGUCGUAGUCCGGAUUGGAGUCUGCAACUCGACUCCAUGAAGUCGGAAUCGCUAGUAAUCGUAGAUCAGAAUGCUACGGUGAAUACGUUCCCGGGCCCUGUACACACCGCCCGUCACACCAUGGGAGUGGGUUGCAAAAGAAGUAGGUAGCUUAACCUUCGGGAGGGCGCUUACCACUUUGUGAUUCAUGACUGGGGUGAAGUCGUAACAAGGUAACCGUAGGGGAACCUGCGGCUGGAUCACCUCCUU